UACGGGGGGAGCAAGCGUUGUUCGGAUUUACUGGGCGUAAAGGGCGCGUAGGCGGUCAGCACAAGUCAGUUGUGAAAUCUCCGGGCUUAACCCGGAGCGGCCAAGUGAUACUGUUGUGCUAGAGUGCGGAAGGGGCUACUGGAAUUCUCGGUGUAGCGGUGAAAUGCGUAGAUAUCGAGAGGAACACCUGCGGCGAAGGCGGGUAGCUGGGCCGACACUGACGCUGAGGCGCGAAAGCCAGGGGAGCGAACGGG
rnacentral:rRNA from 1 species